CAGCACCUCAAGUGGUCAGGAUGAUUAUUGGGCCUAAAGCAUCCGUAGCCGGCGCUGUAAGUUUUCGGUUAAAUCUGUACGCUCAACGUACAGGCUGCCGGGAAUACUGCAGCGCUAGGGAGUGGGAGAGGUAGACGGUACUCGGUAGGAAGGGGUAAAAUCCUUUGAUCUAUUGAUGACCACCUGUGGCGAAGGCGGUCCACCAGAACACGUCCGACGGUGAGGGAUGAAAGCUGGGGGAGCAAACCGGAUUAGAGACCCGAGUAGUCC
rnacentral:rRNA from 1 species